rnacentral:rRNA from 1 species
AUUGAACGCUGGCGGCAGGCCUAACACAUGCAAGUCGAACGAGUGGCGGACGGGUGAGUAAUGCCUGGGCAACUGCCUGAUGGAGGGGGAUAACUACUGGAAACGGUCGCCUAUACCGCAUACCCUCAGAUGUGCCCAGAUGGGAUUAGCUAGUUGGUGGGUUAACGGCUCACCAAGGCGACGAUCCCUCGCUGGUGUGAGAGGAUGACCGGCCACACGGGAACGGGGACACGGUCCAGACUCCUACGGGAGGCAGCAGUGGGGAAUAUUGCACAAUGUGCGCAAGCCUGAUGCAGCCAUGCCGCGGGUAUGAAGAAGGCCUUCGGGUUGUAAAGUACUUUCAGCGGGGAGGCGUUACCCGCAGAAGAAGCACCGGCUAACUCCGUGCCAGCCGCCGCGGUAAUUC